GGCCGGGUAGAGUAUACUUUAUUGAUGGUACAUAAUAAGGUCAGGCUCCCCAAGCCCCUACCCUUUUCCAGCAGUCUGCAAUGGAAACUGUGGAGGUUGGGAGAUUCUCCAUGUGUUGGGCAAGGAGUUACAGCAAGGAUCCCCCAGCAGCUGAGGGCCUCUCUCUUCCUCUUGCUCUUGCUGGGGCUGGUGGUCCAGAGGGCUCUUACUCUGUGGAGGCCAUGUGGACCAUAAAGCCCACCACCUGGUUGCUGUAGCCAAAUUCAUUGUGAUACCAGGAAAUAAGCUUGACAACGUGGUCACUGAGAGCAAUGCCAGCCCCAGCAUCGAAGGUGGAAGAGUGGGUGUCACGUUAGAGUCUCAGGAGAUAAUAACCUGGUCCUCAGUGUAGCCCAGGAUGCCCUUGAGGGGACCGUCUGAUGCCUGCUUUACCAUCUUGGUGAUGCCAUCAUAUCUGGCAGCUUUCUCCAGGCAGC
rnacentral:lncRNA from 1 species